rnacentral:hammerhead_ribozyme from 1 species
GCACUGCUGAAGAGUCCCAUACUAGGACGAAACGGCCGUCCAGUAC